rnacentral:misc_RNA from 1 species
ACUACCAAAAGAAACAAACUACCAAGAAACAAACCAAAUCAGAUUAAGAACCAAGGUUGGGCAGAGGCGCACUGCACUAGGAAGGUCGCUGAAAGAAGAACGGUAGAAAAAAAAAUGGCUAGAAGACAUCUCACACACCGACGCGUGAAGUGCCAAAACUAUAAGUGGCGCGUGAGACCAUGAGCUUUACCGAACGGGGGGGAUUCUUCUAGGAAAGGGUCGAUCGAUGGCAGGGCUUCCUUCAGAGGUGGGCAAUGACCAACAACUACCACUUGCAGGAAAACGUUUAGAAGCUUAACCCAAGAACCCUAAAAACCCUAGAUCUAUUUUGAAGAGCAAUUUAUGCCAAAAAAAGGUUAGCUUAGCUCUGAUACCAUGAUGAAAUAACAGGAUUUGGAGGAAUUUUAUGUGUAUUUCAUUAUGUAAAUUUAUUUUCUACAGGUCUCUAUUUAUACAAAAGAAUCCUCACUAUACAGGAAGUCUAAAGAGAUUAGAAAACUAAGAGAAAAUAGGAAACAAUAAAUACAACAAAGGAAAGAAAUAACAAUCCCUAUAAUGCAAGGAUUAGAUCCGGAUUUCCAACACAAACCAAA